rnacentral:misc_RNA from 1 species
GUAUUGAUCGCGUAUCACCGCAAAAAGAAAAUACAUUCUACACUGCUUUAAGGUUUGUGUGAAAAAACGUGGGCCCCCCCUUUCAGGGGAACUCACGCGGUUGUGCACAAGAGGGGUGAGAUGGAUUAUGUGUGAGAGCACCAAGGUGUGCACGACCUUUUCAAAAGUCAGCGACAACCCCAGCACCUCCAUUGUAUGAUAAUGAUCCUUCCGCAGGUUCACCUACGGAAA